AAGACUGUUGAUUUAAUCAUCGAGUCAUUCUCGCGAAGGCGGGAAUCUCCCAAGUAUUUAAGAGAUCCCCGUGUCAAGCACGAGGAUUGUAAGUUAAAUCUCCAGUAUAAUUUCA
rnacentral:ncRNA from 1 species